rnacentral:rRNA from 1 species
UUUCCUACGGGGGGCAGCAGUGGGGAAUAUUGCACAAUGGGGGAAACCCUGAUGCAGCAACGCCGCGUGAGUGAAGAAGUAUUUCGGUAUGUAAAGCUCUAUCAGCAGGGAAGAAGAUGACGGUACCUGAGUAAGAAGCCCCGGCUAACUACGUGCCAGCAGCCGCGGUAAUACGUAGGGGGCAAGCGUUAUCCGGAUUUACUGGGUGUAAAGGGAGCGUAGAGGGUGAGACAAGUCUGAAGUGAAAGCACGGCGCU